CGACUGCGGGGUUUUCACAACCGAUUGCACGGAAAACGACAGCCAUUACAGAAUUGGCUGAAGACAGGAAGCAAUUGUCGUUCAUUGAAAGCGAAAAUUUCUUUGUUGUCGUGUUUAAAUUUGUUUACGGCUUCUAUAAUCAGCAUUCUCCUUAUGAGAUACGCCGUAUUUGCAUAGUAAGUUCGGUGAGUCAAAUAUUCUGGUGUGCUUCUCAAAAUAUUUCGAUCAACAUUUCCAAGUAAAAUGGCGAAUGGGUAAUGCACAAUGAUCUUAGGCAACUGAGUGUGUGUUAGGUGUCAAGAUCAGGUAUCAGCAUCAUCAGUGGACUUUAGUACAAUGACAUGGUGCAGUUGACUCCUUUUCCACUUCUUCAUUUUAUUAUCCUUCGCUGAUGGACUGUUUGCUGCUUGGUCGUCUUUAUUCUCAUCAACUUCUUAUCUUUCAUCGUACAUUUUAACUGAGGGUGAAGAAGGAAGAGAUUUCUCAAGUAUCUAAAGUGAAGGUCCUUGAACGCUGGGAGUCAUCGCCUUAUCAUUCAAGUGCAUUUCCGUUUGCACAGUUCUACGUGGAUACAAUGGUCAUCGAAAUUACUCUACUUUGUUUUUCCUGUCGUAUACUUUGCACCAUUUUGUGAAAUGCAGUUUUUUCCUUCGGUUCAAAGUAUGUAUUGAACGUUAAUAUCCAUUUAUAAAAUAGCAUAAAUUCUCCAUUCUUGUGGCUAAAAUUUAGGAUUAUAAUAUGAUACUAGUUCCUAAUACGUAUUAAGUUAAACAACAUACAUAAAACGUACAAUCAUUAAAAACAAUGAUAU
rnacentral:misc_RNA from 1 species